GCCUACGGGGGGCAGCAGUAGGGAAUAUUGCUCAAUGGGGGAAACCCUGAAGCAGCAACGCCGCGUGGAGGAUGAAGGUUUUCGGAUUGUAAACUCCUUUUGUUAGAGAAGAUAAUGACGGUAUCUAACGAAUAAGCACCGGCUAACUCCGUGCCAGCAGCCGCGGUAAUACGGAGGGUGCAAGCGUUACUCGGAAUCACUGGGCGUAAAGAGCGCGUAGGCGGGACAGCAAGUCAGAUGUGAAAUCCUAUGGCUUAACCAUAGAACUGCAUUUGAAACUGUUAUUCUAGAGUAUGGGAGAGGUA
rnacentral:rRNA from 1 species